rnacentral:misc_RNA from 1 species
CCAUGGGAGCUGGUAAUACCCAAAGUCGGUUUGCUAACCUCGGAGGCGACUGCCUAAGGUAGGACUGGUGACUGGGGUGAAGUCGUAACAAGGUAUCCCUACGAGAACGUGGGGAUGGAUUACCUCCUUUCUACGGAGUACAAUUGAAGUUAUCCAUACUUCAAAAUAGUUAAUGGCCCAAUAUUCGUAUCCAGUUUUGAGAGAACUACUCUCUCUUUUAUUCUUUGAAAACUGAAUUAGACAUUGAAAAUUAAAAUAUUAAUAUUCAAAAUUUAGAUCAACCUAUAGAAUAUUCAAAAAUAUAACAAAAACAAUAGGUCAAUACUUAUACGUUAAAUAUAUAUUAUAUAACUAUUAAAUAAGCAAGAGUUUUUGGUGGAUGCCUUGGGUCUGGAAGUCGAUGAAGGA